rnacentral:rRNA from 1 species
UUUUAAACUAGGGAAUAGAUACCCUAUUAUUUUUAUUAAAAUUUAUGUUUACUAAUAAUUAUUAAUUAAAUGUAAAUCAUUAAAAAUAAAAAAUUUGGCGGUAUUUAUUAUUUAGAGGAACUUGUUUAUUAAAUUGAUAAUCCACGAGUAGAAGAACUUAAUUUUUUUUUAUGUAUUGUUGUUGUAAAAUUAUAUUAAUAGAUAAUAAUUAAUAAAUUUAAUUAUAAAUUAUAAUUCAAAUCAAAAUGUAGAAUAGUUAAGAGUUUAAUGAGUUACGAAUUAAUUUAAUAAUUGAAAUUUAAAGAAUUUAAUUUUAUAGAUAAGAAUUGGAUUUAAAAAGUAAAAUUUAUAUAAAAUAUAUAAAAUUAAAUU